rnacentral:lncRNA from 1 species
AGAGAAGAAUAGCACACCAGGCAGAGUGGCACACACCUUUGAUCCCAGCACUCAGGAGGCAGAGGCCGCCGAAUCUCUGUGAGCUCAAGGCCAGUCUGAUCUGCAGGUCUGCAUAGAGAGUUCCAGGACAGCCAGUGCUAAAUAGAGAGACCUCCUCUCUCUCACUCGCUCUCAAAAAGAUGAUGACAAUGACGACGAUGACGACGACAAUGAUGAUGAUGACUACGGUGAAGAAAGAACAAAAAAAAAUGACAAGGCCUUCUAGAAGCACAUUCAAGUUUUGUGGCCUUCAGAAAGAUUUUGAUGUUAAUCAUUAAUGAUUCUGUUGUGUCCACACAGAGCAAUGGAGCAUGCUGUACCAGCUUAUGAGGACCUGUUUUGAACAAACACCAAGAUUGAUAAUGUGCCCCUAAGGGGAAGCGUCUAUACAGCCGGGUUCUUCAAGGAUACAUCAAAGGGGCAAGAUGGGCCAUCUUCUAGACUAUAUGUCCAAGGGGCAGCUAGGACACCUGUUCCCUGAAGCCUGUGUUCUACCAUCAAAAUGAGGAUCUGUUUGUCCUUUUCAUACUCUUCAGUGAGCCCAGUCUCCUGUAUUCCUUUGAUCUUAGAAAACCAAAGCAGAACAAGCGACAACCUGAAGAUAAGAUGUCUGCCUUGGCAAUCAUUUUUUUCCCCUUGGUGCUGAGCUCAAUUGUCUUGAUUACUCACAUCUGUGCUAUUUGCAAGUGAGGCUUAAAUCUGGGGGUCUCUUAGGAGCUCUUUGUAGUUGCUCGAGGUGUCUUUGAGACAGUGCUCGUCUGUUCUAACCUGAGAUUGGCAUUCAGGCAAUUGACAUACUACAAAGCCAAGGCACAGAAAAUGGUGUUCAUCAAUAGGGAUGGGCCUUCAACCAGUGUCCCCAAAGUAGCUCCAAGGUAUGAGCUGCUUACCCCUCCAUUAAAAUUAGAAUGUGACCUGCUCACUCUUUUAUCACUUAGAAAAUAAAUGGCUCUAAGUAUAAAAUCCAGUAUAUGUCAGUAAAGAAGACCGAA